AAACUAUCGCGUUUGGCAUUUUCUGAUAUUUUUUGCGUAAUCGUAUUUAGAAAAAUAUUAAAUUACGAUAUAUGUAGCGGCUUAGAUCGCUACCUCCCUGCUCAAGGUUACAGCGCGUCGCGCGCGCAAGUGACAAUAAUAGCACAUUCCACAGCGGGACAUCAAUAACACACAUCAAUACAUACAUAAAAAUUUGGCACGCUACUGUUUAUAUACAUACAUGAGACUCGUCGUAGUCUUAUCAUUCGAGCGGUAACUCUCGAGCAGGAAGUAGUGCGAUCUAUAUAUAUAUAUAUAUAUAAUAAUGCCGCAAUAAAUGGCGCAAUAUUCGGGUGCCGAGUGGAUCCUAUUCCCAUCGCAAUAUAUCAUAAAGUAUGUUUGUAAUUAAUAUCAGGAGUGUCAUGCGAUCGUCUAUAUCUUGCUGAUUAGUGCGCGCGCGAUCAUAAUUAAUUUCGCGAGUAAGUUUUCGUACGUGUAUUAUAAAGGACUAUCGAAAGAUAAGACAGAGGAAAGAGGAGGAGGCACUCAAGCGAUGAUGGAGAAACCGAAUUGAGUAUGAAACAUCUGCCGAUAAUUUGACAACUUGGAAGGACGUACCAAACGGCCAGUAUCGACAGCAGUUAUCAAAGCAGCGUUCCAGACGCGGAAUCGGGGAGAUUAUCGGGCGUUUCUUGGUGGAAUUCCUCCUUCUACCAUCAACCGCAUGCGUCCCUGGAAAAACGAGACAGCCGCCGGUCAUCCUGGUUACGGCGUUGGCCGCCGGGUCGACCGGACCCCGACGUCGACGGUGUAGCCUGUGCGUGCACUUGCCGCGAGGGAAAGGUGGAUGGCCGCGACCUUGAUGCGCGUGGUUCUCGCGUGCCCGAACCCUCACGAAGCACGACGAGGACGUCCGAAGCCGAGGAUCAACGUUUGUGUAGAUAUGGAGAACUUAUUUUUCUCGACAUUGGCAACAUUGAUUCUGGAACUUUGCGCUCUCGCCGCGUGAGAUCACCAAGCUCGAAUUCAAAGAUCGGCGAACAAGGUCGUACAUAGAAAGGAGUAUAUUAGAGGAUGUGCGGACGGUAGCUUGGACUCAAGGACGCAAUUAUCUGCGAGAAAUCACACGAAUUUCCGAAAGAAACAUCAACUUCAAAUUAUGUAAUAAAAUUUGGAAGAAUAUCCAAGAGAGAUUCUGAAAUAUCUUGCACUAUGAAAAGUAUAAUGCAUUAUGCAACAUUGCUAAAUGCUAAUUAUCAGCAAAAUUCUAAUUGACUGACAAAACGACUGGAUAUGGCACAUUUGAUUGAGGACAAAUCGCACGGUUUAACGAUCGAUUGAAGGCUUCGAAUUACUCAAUGAAAACACGUCGACAGCAGUUACUCGAAAUAAAAGAGUUUCACAAUGUGAAAGUUGCCCAAUUUGGAGAACAAAUUCUGCGUAUGACGGAAUUUACAAUUAAAUUGUAUUAAAAAAAUCAAAAGAGAACGAAUGAUAUAUUUCCACUUAUAAUUGGUCAGAUUAUUCACAUUGUGUCCGAGAAAAAAAUGGGUCAUGAAGCAUCGCAGCAUCAGCUUUUAUCAAACGCUCGUACACCUGACCGAUGAACGGUGAUCAGGUAGCGCAAGGCUACCUGACAAGAAUGAACACGUAGGGCAUGCGGGCGCGAGUAAGGGCGGCGAGUAAGGGAGGAUAGGAUCGGCGGAGGGUGCGUUCGCCGGCGCUGCGCUGGCUGGAGAACAGGUACUCGUCGUAGGCGUCGUACGUUCAUUGAUAAGCGUAUUACACCCCGCGCCUUAAACUCGCGUGACGUCACUGGACGCAUGCGUGGCCUCUCAUCGAAUCCUGAAUCGCAAUGACAGCCAUUGGCG